rnacentral:rRNA from 1 species
GACGGGACCCGCACAAGCAGCGGAGCGUGUGGUUUAAUUCGUUGCUACACGAAGAACCUUACCUGGGUUUGACAUAUAGGUUGUAGGGAACUGAAAGGGACGACCCUUCGGGGAGCCUAUACAGGUGUUGCAUGGCUGUCGUCAGCUCGUGUCGUGAGAUGUUCGGUUAAGUCCGCUAACGAGCGCAACCCUCGUCGUAUGUUAUAUGUGUCAUACGAGACUGCCGGUAAAAAGCCGGAGGAAGGUGAGGAUGAUGUCAAGUCAGCAUGACCUUUAUAUCCAGGGCUACACACACGCUACAAUGGUCUGUACAAUGGGUAGCCAAGCCGCGAGGCGGAGCCAAUCCUGAAAGCAGGCCUCAGUUCAGAUUGCAGUCUGCAACUCGACUGCAUGAAGCCGGAGUUGCUAGUAACCGCAGGUCAGCAAUACUGCGGUGAAUACGUUCCCGGGUCUU